rnacentral:rRNA from 1 species
GUAACCUGCGGAAGGAUCAUUACUGAUUUGCUUAAU